CAAGUUCUGAAUCUGAGAGCGGGACACUAGCCCGAAGCCAAAGCACCCCUUUGCCCAUUUCCAGGACGAGUGUUUUCUCAUCUUUCAGAACACCUGUGGGAUCAUCUCCUCCCAGUGUGCACUGUCUGGUGGGGGUGUAAUUAAGAUGCCCUCCUCUCUCUUAGCAAAGGUCUGGGUGAGGCCCUCAGAUGCUGAAUGGAUUGACACAAGGACAAGAGCCUCAGAAUAUGAAGUGUCCUGCCUUCCAUCCCAGCCCACCCAGACAAGCAACUGAACAAAGUGGAAUAUGGGCUAGUGUUGAGAAGCCAUUCUCAAACCUCCACCAAGGGCUUGCUACAUGACUGGGGACUCCAUGCAAGAAAAUGUGGGGCUCCUCAUUCACAA
rnacentral:lncRNA from 1 species